UACAUUACCUUAAAUGAUCCAAAAGUUACGCCCUUUUUCCGAUUAGUCAACUGAGCCAUCAUGAGUUUGUCAUAUGCCUUUUCCAGAUGAAUUAUACAUUCACAGCGCACAACAUCCCACACAUUAGUGCAUUAAAAUUUGACCUCUUAAAACAUGUCAUGUGUCAGUAUCACAAUACCAAUUUUAAUGUUUUGCCAAUUUCAAUUUUCAUCAUAACAUCUAUUUUGUCAAUUAGAAGUUUGGAUGGCCAGGUCCUAAAAAUUAGCAAAGCUAUAAUAACUAACUAGUUACAUAAGAGGGCACCAGAUGGACAUACAUACCUUAACGAUGGAAUCUUGGACAACCUGUCAAGCAAUAUCUAGUCUAGAAUACAUCAGAGAGACAACUAAUUUCAGUUUAUGGUUUAAUUCCUCCUCAUAUUCUUAAUUGAUAUUGCCAACAACAUUCAUGGUACCUAUGAAAUAUGCAAACAGGUUUGAGUAGUCAAUUUUUAAGGUUGUGCACAAGCCUUUCACUAAUUUGGUAGAAGCUUCCCUACUCAUUACAUGUUUAGAUACUAUUGUUGGAAUCAAAAUCAUAACUUUUUGCAUAAAGAAGUUCUAAAAUUUCAAGGUUGAUUUAUGUUUUAUGUUACCCGUUUCGAAUGAAUUCAUGGAUGCCUAUUAAGUCAAGAUGCUGUCACAUUAAGAAAAUUUUUAAAAAAACAUCAAACUCAAAUUGUAUUCAAUAAAUGAAUUGAAAUUUAAAUGAUGUUGCUUGUGUCUCACCUCAGCUAAAAGUUGGUCAGCAAAUAUUCUUGCUAUUGGUGAAUUAACUUCACGCAUAUGAGCAAUUGGGGAAAGCUUUGCAGCUGAUCUCAACAUGUUGAACACUUGUCCUCCAGAUAAAGUAGUAAAAGCCAUUAAGG
rnacentral:lncRNA from 1 species